AGGGGAGGUACGUGAGGCGACGUUGGCUCCCUCUGCUGGGAAUAUGGGAGUUGGGCACCCCGACGCGGACAGCUAAGUGGAGGUAAUUACAGGAAAGUGCCAGCCGUGGAGGCUAAAUAAAAGGAGCACGAUGGCACACCACGGGAGAGAGACGGACACCAGUUAAGAAAGACCGAGCAAAACUUAAGUUAUUUCUUUGAUAUAUUUAUUUUCUGUCUUAGUAAAGUUGUUUUUGCAGACUGAAGCCUCCCUGUCAAUCUCUGCACGCUCCACCCAACGAUCUUGUCUCAUCGCUGCAAAUCACCAACGGGAUCGAGAGGUGAAGGUCGAGUCAUACGUCCUCCAUAACUCAACAAACAACGCUUCUUAACCCGGAAGCAAGCUGCACCAAUGUGUUGGAGGAAACACCGAGGUGACCGAGGUCAGCCUGCAGGCUGCUGGCUCGCCACAAGGAGUCGCUAGAGCGCGAUGAGCCAAGUAAAGCCCCCCUGGCCAAGCCCUCGCCUAACCCGGACGACGCUGGACCAAUUGUGCGCCAACCUAUGGGACCGGUUGUGAUACAGCCUGGAAUCGAACCCAGGAUUCGGAAGUAACCAUGGAGGAACAUCCCCUUCACCACAAAGGCCAACCUCCAACUCCCUCAAACCACUCAUCAGCAAGCUUUCCAACUGUCCAACCAAAAGCACUGCCUUGUCUACUAGUAUAUUCCCAACAGUCAUCUAGAACAGUAGCAGUGGGAUGCUCAACCUCACAGCCUUUCAACCCAAGAAGCUAAUGACAACUUUUUACACCAUUUAUCCAAAGGCAUCUCACCCGCCUCCACUUGUAAGGCACAUACAGAUGUUGAUUUAAAUGCACCAAUACAUA